rnacentral:rRNA from 1 species
UACGUAGGGGCAAGCGUUGUCCGGAAUUAUUGGGCGUAAAGCGCGUGUAGGCGGCUCGAUAAGUCCGCUCUGAAAGUCCGGGGCUCAACCCCGGGAGGCGGGUGGAUACUGUCGGGCUAGAGUCCGGAAGAGGCGAGUGGAAUUUCUGGUGUAGCGGUGAAAUGCGCAGAUAUCAGAAGGAACACCAAUGGCGAAGGCAGCUCGCUGGGACGGUACUGACGCUGAGACGCGAAAGCGUGGGGAGCAAACAGG